UGUAUCCCCGCCGUGGGACUAAGCAUAUCAAUAAGCGGAGGAAAAGAAACCAACAGGGAUUGCCUUAGUAGCGGCGAGUGAAGCGGCAAAAGCUCAAAUUUGAAAUCUGGCUCUUUCAGAGUCCGAGUUGUAAUUUGAAGAAGGUAUCUUUGGGUCUGGCUCUGUCUAUGUUUCUUGGAACAGAACGUCACAGAGGGUGAGAAUCCCGUGCGAUGAGAUGAUCCAGGCCUAUGUAAAGUUCCUUCGAAGAGUCGAGUUGUUUGGGAAUGCAGCUCUAAGUGGGUGGUAAAUUCCAUCUAAAGCUAAAUAUUGGCGAGAGACCGAUAGCGAACAAGUACAGUGAUGGAAAGAUGAAAAGAACUUUGAAAAGAGAGUGAAAAAGUACGUGAAAUUGUUGAAAGGGAAGGGCUUGAGAUCAGACUUGGUAUUUUGUAUGUUACUUCUUCGGGGGUGGCCUCUACAGUUUAUCGGGCCAGCAUCAGUUUGGGCGGUAGGAGAAUUGCGUUGGAAUGUGGCACGGCUUCGGUUGUGUGUUAUAGCCUUCGUCGAUACUGCCAGCCUAGACUGAGGACUGCGGUUUAUACCUAGGAUGUGCUAUUCCGAGGGG
rnacentral:rRNA from 1 species